rnacentral:rRNA from 1 species
GACGAACGCUGGCGGCGUGCUUAACACAUGCAAGUCGAACGGAAAGGCCUCUUUCGGGGGGUACUCGAGUGGCGAACGGGUGAGUAACACGUGAGUAACCUGCCCUUGACUUUGGGAUAACUUCAGGAAACUGGGGCUAAUACCGGAUAGGAGCUCCUGCUGCAUGGUGGGGGUUGGAAAGUUUCGGCGGUUGGGGAUGGACUGGCGGCUUAUCAGCUUGUUGGUGGGGUAGUGGCUUACCAAGGCUUUGACGGGUAGCCGGCCUGAGAGGGUGACCGGCGACAUUGGGACUGAGAUGCGGCCCAGACUCCUACGGGAGGCAGCAGUGGGGAAUAUUGCACCAUGGGUGGAGGGCUGAUGCAGCAGCGCCGUGUGCGGGAUGACGGCCUUCGGGUUGUAAACCGCUUUCGCUCAUGACGAAGCUUUGUGUGACGGUAGUGGGUAAAGAAGCACCGGCUAACUACGUG